UGAAGCGUGUACCUUCAUUUGUAUUUGAAUGAAAAUAAAUGACAACAUAAUUUUAGCAUCAUUACGCUUGUUUGCCCAGGUAAGUAUCAACAAGUCUCAGUAUUGAACUCGUUUUUACAGUCGGGGGUGAUGGUUGUUUCCCAAUUAAGUUAUUUGCAAGUCUUUUUUUUAAAUGUGGACAAUUUGGACCACGACACGCAAUGCAAUCUUUUUUCGAUCACGGGGGUCUUUAACGUGCAGCAGACGGAGCGCCGUGUGUACAAGGAAGAAUACCCUCCCCGUUCACCACACUGAUGGACCUCUGCAAUCGGUGGCGAAGAAUGCCUUACCGCUCGGUCAUGGCACCACGUCACACAAAAAGAUUCUUGUGAGAGGCGAGAGAGAUGGAGGCGAGCGAGAAGGGAGGAGAGGCAACAAGGAUGGGGAUAAGAGACGUGAAAGCGGGAGAGAGCCCCGCAUUAUUUUUCGCGUAAUAACAACACGCAGCUCGCCGGCUUCCUGCUGAUGACAAGCGCCUCUCAGCGCAUCACGGCAAAAGGUUAUGUGCGUACACACACAUCUCUCCCCGAGAACGUCUCGGCCGUGCGUGUGUAAUGUGUUUGUCCUGGGCCUCUCCUAGGCCACAACAGGAGCACCUGGCAAAAUCUGUAAGCAUCGCCACGAGAAAGACAAGGGCGGCCGGGCGUGGUGCUUUACGGGGGAUCUUUGUCCUUCUGUGCGCUUUUAGUGCGUGUGCUGUAUUGUUUGUGUACCGUUUAGUGUGUGCACGCGACGUGUGUAGUUUUAAUUAAACAUCAUGGGCCAGGUAUGACGUGGCCUCUAUGGUCAAAGAGUUGUUAGCGAUGCAGGACUGAUGGAGUGGAACGUACACUUCGGAUGAGAGGGAAAGGGAAUUAAGAUGGGAGGUCUCGCUGUUUGUUGAAUGGCUUCGGUGCGUACAGGAUGUGACUAGUAAGACGUGGGAUUAAACAAUGUUUUAUGUUGAUCGAACAGCGUCGAACAAGGGGGGAUGGGGGAUCGGGUCAUCAGCCUCACCGGCACAACGACGCCAGAGGACGCACCCACUGGGAGGAAGGGCCAGGUGAAUGAUGAGGGGGUAAGGUGAGGAUAAGGUCAGAUAUGGAGAAAUCUGGUCAGGAGCACUGGGGCUGGACCGGCAGCUCGGACUGUUAAUCCUUAAUCUUAUUUUCUUUGCAAAUACAUCAUUUGCCUACGACCGGUAACCAGCGAUGUCAAGAUCGGCCUCGAUGGAGGUUCAUAAAGGACGCACGCUACUGGGACGUUUGAGGCAGUCGCCCUCCAGCAACAGCAGAGCGCCGGGCGGAUAAGACGCAGCAAGUUGGUACAUUGUGGAGCACAGCUGGUGGGUCUGUCAUCUCAGUCAACCGAAAAACACCUGGGUGUCUACCGUUCCCUUCCGACAGCGAGACGUCGACACUUAACGCGACAUGGAAGUGCAUCUAGCCUGGCACAAGCAGUGGUGAGGUCACCGACACUUAGUGAAUAGCGGCUGCUGCGUGCUUGUAGUCGCGUCUAUACGGUACAUGCAUCACAUUCUCGUAUAUAAAAAAAAACACGAGCAGCAAUAAUGUCACGUUUAUUAUUGUAUAUACAAGCGUGAGCUCUGUUUAUGUACAGUGGGCAGGAAGUCGCUAUACCCCAUUACCUAUGAGUCAUGACAGCUCUUAAGACAAGGGUAUAUUGAAUUCCCACUCGGUCUGUGCAAGAAUCAUAACGUGAAGCCUAUAUUCCUUGAUAAACGGAUCUGUGUGGUGUACAUUGACUCGGGCUGCACCACCUUGGGCUCAUUAAAACAAGACACAAAAACUCACGGUUAUAAAUACAGAUACGAUAAGAUUAACUGUUAACACACCAAGAGAAAUACACGAGAGAACGCAAGAGACGUGAUAUUGACUGUGAAUUGAGCGGUGGCGUCGGCUGGAACAGGACACGUUUAUGCAAAGUGAUCUUUGGUCGGUGGUUGAGACUAACGAUGGUGUGCGAGCCAUGCAGGUCAUCCUACAAGCAGAUGGAGGGGUUCUAAUCAACUCGUGUGCAGAUGCUUCCCUGGACCAUGAGACGCGAUGGUGGAUUGGGGAAGCCUACAUCCAUCCAACAGUGAAUCGAUCAUGGCUGAUGAUGAUGAAGAAAUCAAUGGAGCACAUCGUUGAUUUCGGUGGUUGUGCAGAUGUCCGCGGCGAUGGUAAAUGAGAGGUGUGGGAAUGGGAAACAGUUGAAUGUGUACAUGGGUAGAUUAAAGGAAAUUCACGUCGUAACUUGGGCAAAAGGCCACAUCGAUGUUAUUUCUUCCUCCCCGUUGUGGUAAAUGUGCUGUCCUCUCGUGGCUGCAGGGUUUAUGGGUACCCAAAAAUACACCAAACACGAACCAACAUAAUCAAGUUUGAACGCGUGUAUCGUUAACAGAAGAACGGAUACUACCAGUGAACUGAUCGAUGUUAUCGUUCAAUGUAUAAAAGGAUGAGAAGGGU